rnacentral:rRNA from 1 species
AGAGUUUGAUCCUGGCUCAGGAGGAACGCUGGCGGCGUGCUUAACACAUGCUAGUCGAACGAUGAAGCCGGAGCUUGCUCAGGAGGAUUAUUGGCGAACGGGUGAGUAACAAGUGAGCAACCUGCCCUUCACUCUGGGAUAACUGCGGGAAACUGUACCUCACACCGGAUAUUACGAUCCGAGGCAUCGCUGAUCUUGGAAAGAAUUUCUGUGAAGGAUGAGACUCACGGCCUACCUACUAUGUUGGUGAGGUAAUGGCUCACCGAGGACACUACGGGCAGCCGGACUGACAGGGUGACCGGCCACACUGGAACUGAGAGAUUGUUCAGACUGCUACGGGAGGUACCCUUCGGGAAUAUUGCACAAUGGGCGCACGCCUGAGGCUUCACCCCUCGUGAGGGACGAAUGCCUCUCGGUUGUAAACCUCGUUUAUCAUGGAAGAAGCUAGAGUGACGGAACAUGCAGAAAAAGCACCCGCUAACUACGUGCCAGGACCCGCUCUCAUGCCUGCGGCGCAAGCGUUGUCUGGAAAUAUAGUGCGUCAAGAGCUACGCUGACGGUUUGUCGCCUCUGCUGUGAAAACUGGAAGCUC